UCUCUGCCUGUAGGUGUUCAGGUGACACAACAAUGUCUCUACCGCAUCUUCUCUGGCUGCUGGGGCUCUGGGCUCAGGUUUCCUAUGGCGAUGUGGUGCUGACACAGUCUCCAGCCUCCCUGUCUGCAUCUCCAGGAGACAGAGUCACCAUGAGCUGCAAGGCCAGUGAGAGUAUCACAUAUAGUGAUGGUGAUGACCUCUUAUACUGGUACCAGAAGAAGCCUGGACAAGCCCCCAGGCUCCUGAUCUACUGGGCUACCAGGCUGCAAUCUGGAGUCCCUGCCCGCUUCAGUGGGAGCAGGUCUGGCACAGAUUUCACUCUCACCAUCAGUAGUAUGGAGGCCGAGGAUGCUGCAGUCUAUUACUGUCAGCAGAGUCUUAAACUUCCUCACACAGUGAUAUAUUCUGGAACAAAACCCCCCCAAGGCUGA